rnacentral:Y_RNA from 1 species
UGGGCGAAUGCCGGUGGAACUACACGCCUGUCACGCGGGAGGUCGCGGGUUCGAUUCCCGCCGGUCCUUCGGGACCGUAGCUCAGAGGCCAGAGCGCCUUGUUUCACCACACCUUGUCGCCCAUCU